GGGGGGGGGUGCUAAUACAUGCAAGUCGAACGAGUUCUGAUUAUUGAAAGAUGCUUGCAUCUUGAUUUAAUUUUGAACGAGUGGCGGACGGGUGAGUAACACGUGGGUAACCUGCCCUUAAGUGGGGGAUAACAUUUGGAAACAGAUGCUAAUACCGCAUAAAUCCAAGAACCGCAUGGUUCUUGGCUGAAAGAUGGCGUAAGCUAUCGCUUUUGGAUGGACCCGCGGCGUAUUAGCUAGUUGGUGAGGUAACGGCUCACCAAGGCAAUGAUACGUAGCCGAACUGAGAGGUUGAUCGGCCACAUUGGGACUGAGACACGGCCCAAACUCCUACGGGAGGCAGCAGUAGGGAAUCUUCCACAAUGGACGCAAGUCUGAUGGAGCAACGCCGCGUGAGUGAAGAAGGCUUUCGGGUCGUAAAACUCUGUUGUUGGAGAAGAAUGGUCGGCAGAGUAACUGUUGUCGGCGUGACGGUAUCCAACCAGAAAGCCACGGCUAACUACGUGCCAGCAGCCGCGGUAAUACGUAGGUGGCAAGCGUUAUCCGGAUUUAUUGGGCGUAAAGCGAGCGCAGGCGGUUUUUUAAGUCUGAUGUGAAAGCCCUCGGCUUAACCGAGGAAGUGCAUCGGAAACUGGGAAACUUGAGUGCAGAAGAGGACAGUGGAACUCCAUGUGUAGCGGUGAAAUGCGUAGAUAUAUGGAAGAACACCAGUGGCGAAGGCGGCUGUCUGGUCUGUAACUGACGCUGAGGCUCGAAAGCAUGGGUAGCGAACAGGAUUAGAUACCCUGGUAGUCCAUGCCGUAAACGAUGAAUGCUAGGUGUUGGAGGGUUUCCGCCCUUCAGUGCCGCAGCUAACGCAUUAAGCAUUCCGCCUGGGGAGUACGACCGCAAGGUUGAAACUCAAAGGAAUUGACGGGGGCCCGCACAAGCGGUGGAGCAUGUGGUUUAAUUCGAAGCAACGCGAAGAACCUUACCAGGUCUUGACAUCUUUUGAUCACCUGAGAGAUCAGGUUUCCCCUUCGGGGGCAAAAUGACAGGUGGUGCAUGGUUGUCGUCAGCUCGUGUCGUGAGAUGUUGGGUUAAGUCCCGCAACGAGCGCAACCCUUAUGACUAGUUGCCAGCAUUUAGUUGGGCACUCUAGUAAGACUGCCGGUGACAAACCGGAGGAAGGUGGGGAUGACGUCAAAUCAUCAUGCCCCUUAUGACCUGGGCUACACACGUGCUACAAUGGAUGGUACAACGAGUUGCGAGACCGCGAGGUCAAGCUAAUCUCUUAAAGCCAUUCUCAGUUCGGACUGUAGGCUGCAACUCGCCUACACGAAGUCGGAAUCGCUAGUAAUCGCGGAUCAGCACGCCGCGGUGAAUACGUUCCCGGGCCUUGUACACACCGCCCGUCACACCAUGAGAGUUUGUAACACCCGAAGCCGGUGGCGUAACCCUUUUAGGGAGCGAGCCGUCUAAGGGGACCAAAAGGUG
rnacentral:rRNA from 1 species